AGGUGGAGAAGGCCGCCCGCCGCGCCAACGCCCAUGACUUCAUCACCCGCCUGCAUCAUGGCUAUGACACAGGUACGGCCCGUCCCCAUCCCCGUCCCCGGUGUCCCCCCUCUCCCCGGUAAGGCGCUGAGCCCCCCUGCUCCCUGCAGACGCUGGCGAGAUGGGCGGCCAGAUCUCCGGCGGGCAGCGGCAGGCGGUGGCCAUCGCCCGCGCCCUAGUGCGGGACCCCCGGGUCCUCGUCCUCGACGACCCCACCAGCGCCCUGGACAACAAGAGCGAGCUCCAGGUGAGACCCUCCUCAGGCUCUGCAGCUCCUCGGUCCCCACUCCUGGUGGCCCUUGGUCCCCAUGGCCCCUUGGUCCCCACUCCUGGUGGCUCUUGGUCCCCAUGGCCCCUUGGUCCCCACUCCCAGUGUCUCCUUGGUCCCCAUUCCUGGUGGCCCUCAGUCCCCAGUGUCCUCUCAGUCCCCGUUCCUGGUGGCCCUCAGUCCCUAUGGCCCCUCAGUCUCCUCUCCUGGUGGCCCUCAGUGCCUGCUUGGUCCCAGGUCCUGGUGGCCCCUAGGUCCCCACUUCCCGUGUCCCCAGGGUCCCCGCUCCUGGUGCCCCCUCAGUCCCAGAUCCCCCUGUCCCCAGUGUCUCCUGGGUCCCCACUUCCUGUGUCCCCUCUGUCCCUGGUCCCAGGUCCCCCUGGUCCCAGGCUUCCUCUGUCCACUGGGUCCCCAGGCUCCCCAUUUCCUGUGUCCCCUCUGUCCCUGCUCCUGGUGCCCUCUUGGUCCCAGGUGCCUCUGUCCCCUGGGUCCCCUGGAUCCCCAUUUCCCAUGUUGCCUCUAUCCCCGCUCCUGGUGCCCACAGGGUCCCAGGGUCCCGUGUCCCCCUGUCCCCUAGGUCCCCAGGGUCCCCACUCCUGCUGCCCCCUUGGUCCCAGGUGCCCCUGUCCCCAGGGUGCCCCUGUCCCCAGGGUCCCCUGGCUCCCCAUUUCCUGUGUCCCCUCUGUCCCCACUCCUGGUGCCCUCUCAGUCCUGGGUGCCCCUGUCCCCUGGAUCCCCUGGAUCCCUGCUUCCCAUGUCCCCCCUGUCCCCAGUCCUUGGUGC
rnacentral:lncRNA from 1 species